rnacentral:rRNA from 1 species
CAGUAGCCGCGGUAAUACAGAGGGUGCAAGCGUUAAUCGGAAUUACUGGGCGUAAAGCGCGCGUAGGUGGUUCGCCAAGUUGGAUGUGAAAUCCCCGGGCUCAACCUGGGAACUGCAUCCAAAACUGGCGAGCUAGAGUAUGGUAGAGGGUGGUGGAAUUUCCUGUGUAGCGGUGAAAUGCGUAGAUAUAGGAAGGAACAUCAGUGGCGAAGGCGACCACCUGGACUGAUACUGACACUGAGGUGCGAAAGCGUGGGGAGCAAACAGGAUUAGAUACCCCUGUAGUCCCUGUCUCUUAUAC